rnacentral:tRNA from 1 species
GGAGAGAUGUCCGAGUGGCCGAAGGAGCACGCUUGGAAAGCGUGUGUGGGGGCAACCUCACCGAGGGUUCGAAUCCCUCUCUCUCCGCCA